CAGGAUGAACGCUGGCGGCGUGCCUAACACAUGCAAGUCGAGCGAUUCUCUUCGGAGAAGAGCGGCGGACGGGUGAGUAACGCGUGGGUAACCUGCCCUGUACACACGGAUAACAUACCGAAAGGUAUGCUAAUACGAGAUAAUAUACUUUUAUCGCAUGGUAGAAGUAUCAAAACUUUUGCGGUACAGGAUGGACCCGCGUCUGAUUAGCUAGUUGGUAAGGUAACGGCUUACCAAGGCGACGAUCAGUAGCCGACCUGAGAGGGUGAUCGGCCACAUUGGAACUGAGACACGGUCCAAACUCCUACGGGAGGCAGCAGUGGGGAAUAUUGCACAAUGGGCGAAAGCCUGAUGCAGCAACGCCGCGUGAGCGAUGAAGGCCUUCGGGUCGUAAAGCUCUGUCCUCAAGGAAGAUAAUGACGGUACUUGAGGAGGAAGCCCCGGCUAACUACGUGCCAACAGCCGCGGUAAUACGUAGGGGGCUAGCGUUAUCCGGAAUUACUGGGCGUAAAGGGUGCGUAGGUGGUUUCUUAAGUCAGAGGUGAAAGGCUACGGCUCAACCGUAGUAAGCCUUUGAAACUGGGAAACUUGAGUGCAGGAGAGGAGAGUGGAAUUCCUAGUGUAGCGGUGAAAUGCGUAGAUAUUAGGAGGAACACCAGUUGCGGAGGCGGCUCUCUGGACUGUAACUGACACUGAGGCACGAAAGCGUGGGGAGCAAACAGGAUUAGAUACCCUGGUAGUCCACGCCGUAAACGAUGAGUACUAGCUGUCGGAGGUUACCCCCUUCGGUGGCGCAGCUAACGCAUUAAGUACUCCGCCUGGGAAGUACGCUCGCAAGAGUGAAACUCAAAGGAAUUGACG
rnacentral:rRNA from 1 species